UUACUAAGAAAUCAUUGCUACACUUCAGUGAAAUAAAUUAGUAGGUACAUAGGUGUUGCUACAUUCAGUGUUGAAAUUUCAAUGCGAUUUUUUUUUUCGUGAAUGUAAACUAUGUCUAAAGUUAAAUUGUUUUAGAAGUAUCAUAUAAUCUAAUCUAUUUACGCACAAAGUUGUCAUAAAAGGAAUCUUUCGGGGCUCAUACAUUUAAAAUCCAUACUUUAUGUAUCAAUAAACCUAGAUAAUGACAAAUCGAUAUAAUACUUAGUUUUGAGCGUAUAAUAUCAAAUAAUAUAGUGAUCACCCUCCUACGCACAGGGAAUUU